GGGGCUGUAGCUCAGUUGGGAGAGCGCUUGAAUGGCAUUCAAGAGGUCGAGGGUUCGACUCCCUUCAGCUCCA
rnacentral:tRNA from 1 species